CGUGGAGCGAUUUGUCUGGUUUAUUCCGAUAACGAGCGAGACUCUAGCCUACUAAAUAGUUUGUGCAUUGUCUCUGCGCAUAAAACUUCUUAGAGGGAUUCGCGAUGUUCAGUCGCAAGAAAUUGAGCAAUAACAGGUCUGUGAUGCCCUUAGAUGUCCGGGGCUGCACGCGCGCUACACUGGCGAACGCAACGUGCUUGUCCUUGGCCGAAAGGCCUUGGUAAACCAUUGAAAUUUUGCCGUGAUUGGGAUCGGAAAUUGCAAUUAUUUUCCGUGAACGAGGAAUUCCAAGUAAGUGCGAGUCAUCAACUCGCGUUGAAUACGUCCCUGCCCUUUGUAC
rnacentral:rRNA from 1 species